UGGGCAACCUGCCCCUCUCUCUGGGAUAACCCCGGGAAACCGGAGCUAAUACCGGAUACUCCGGCUGGAUCGCAUGGUCCGGCCGGGAAAGGUCCGCCGGAGAGGGAUGGGCCCGCGGCCUAUCAGCUUGUUGGUGGGGUAACGGCUCACCAAGGCUACGACGGGUAGCUGGUCUGAGAGGACGACCAGCCACACUGGGACUGAGACACGGCCCAGACUCCUACGGGAGGCA
rnacentral:rRNA from 1 species